rnacentral:rRNA from 1 species
CCUACGAGAGGCAGCAGUGAGGAAUAUUGGUCAAUGGACGAGAGUCUGAACCAGCCAAGUAGCGUGAAGGAUGACUGCCCUAUGGGUUGUAAACUUCUUUUAUAAAGGAAUAAAACGAGGCACGUGUGCCUUUUUGCAUGUACUUUAUGAAUAAGGAUCGGCUAACUCCGGGCCUGCAGCCGCGGUAAUACGGAGGAUCCGAGCGUUAUCCGGAUUUAUUGGGUUUAAAGGGAGCGUAGAUGGGUUGUUAAGUCAGUUGUGAAAGUUUGCGGCUCAACCGUAAAAUUGCAAUUGAUACUGGCAGUCUUGAGGACAGUUGAGGUAGGCGGAAUUCGGGGUGUAGCGGUGAAAUGCUUAGAUAUCACGAAGAACCCCGAUUGCGAAGGCAGCUUACUAAACUGUGACUGACAUUGAUGCUCGAAAGUGUGGGUAUCAAACAGGAUUAGAUACCCCUGUAGUC